UCUGGUCUCCCCGGGACCUGUUAGCAAAAGACUCAGCCUGGGUUCUGGGCCAAUCGCUUAUUUGCUCAUUUGUCUUUGUCAAUCAAGAGCGGUCUUCAUGAAGAAGGCAAACUCAGACUUCGGAUGCGGGGCGGACUCGAGUCUCGCCGCGGCCUCCCGCGCGCGCCCUGCAGGCGGCGAGCGGCACUGCGGGAAGGCGCGGCUCCCGAGCAGACGGGGCGGGGCCGCGGCUCGUUUGCAUACCCACAGUGCAUUGCACGAGAGCGCGCUUGAAAGGGCAAGAUUUAAAGUUAUUCCAAGAAUAUUCUGUAGAAAUUAGAGCCUAGCAUUAAAAGUGACAUGGACAACUUUAUGUUUUCCCACAAGAGCUUGCCGGCAGGUGGUCAUCCUCGAUGAACUAGGAGUUCCCGGUACCCGAGGAGUGCGUUACGGGGUUGUAGUGCAUACUCUGGUUUCUCUUCAGAUCGUAUAAAUCUUUCGCCUUUUACUAAAGAUUUCCGUGGAGAGGAACAAUUCUGAGUCUUUACUUAAUUUUUUGAGGCCUUGUUUUGGCAAGGCUAUUUUAUGCGGUUGGAAAAAAAGAACUUGUUAUAAUUGUCUGACUAAGCCACCGAGUAGGUGUUAGCAUUACUUGGGUAUUACUAUGUGGUGUGUAACUUACAGCUUUCGAGAACAACAGAGGAUUACCCAACUCCUUGGGCUCCUGCACCCGAGUGAGAGACCUGAAGGAAGCUCCUGGUUUCGGAUCAGUACAGCUCCGAAAGACUUUCGCUCUGCCUUCUCUGUAACUUCUACUUUUCAAAAGUUACAGAGAGAAGAAGAGACAGAUCUUCCAUCUGCUGGUUCACUCCCCAAAUGGUGACAAGAGCUGGAGCUGGGCCAAUCCCAUGCCAGGAGCCAGGAGCCAAAAGUUUCUUUCAGCUGACUGAAUCUGAGGACGUGGAACCUGCGGCUCCCGAGUGCUCCCGAGCGCUGCCCCGAGCCGGUGCUGCGGACCCUAACGCUGUAGGGUCAGAGCGAAUCCUCCCCUGUGGCUGAGCACGUCUGCCUGCUUUUUCUUUUCAGAAACUUCCUGGGUUUUCUUGCCCCUUUGCCUUUUCAAAAAAUGUAGAAUUAGCCAGAAAAGAAAAUGGUUGGAAUUGGGGGGUGGGGAGUUGCAUUAAUAAAAACCCUUACGAUACUGACUCUUUUUUUUUCUUUUUCUUUUUCCUUUAUUUUAUUUUAUUUUUUUGACAGGCAGAGUGGACAGUGAGAGAGAGAGACAGAGAGAAAGGUCUUCCUUUUGCCAGUGGUUCACCCUCCAAUGGCUGCCGCGGCCGGCGCGCUGCAGCCGGCACACCGCGCUGAUCCGAUGGCAGGAGCCAGGUACUUAUCCUGGUCUCCCAUGGGGUGCAGGGCCCAAGCCCUUGGGCCAUCCUCCACUGCACUCCCUGGCCACAGCAGAGAGCUGGCCUGGAAGAGGGGCAACCGGGACAGAAUCCGGCACCCCGACCGGGACUAGAACCUGGUGUGCCGGCGCCACAAGGCGGAGGAUUAGCCUAGUGAGCCGCGGUGCCGGCCAUGAUAUUGACUUUUUUUUUUUUUUUACUUUGAUGUCAGUUAUAGAGAUUUAUUUGUGACAAAAAUGCUUUAAUAAUAGCAGGUUGUCCCCUUGUCUGGUGGAAUUCAGCAUUUUCUCUUUCCAGCACAUUCAGAAUCUCUGUAAUAUGCAUUGUUUCACGCUCAGAUUUAAUAAAAUGAAGAUUUUCUAAAAAGAUAACUGCAGUAGAAAUGAAAAAGACAGAUGUUUGGCCUUGUGGUUAAGGUGCCACUUGGGUUACCUUCAUCUCAUGGUUCCUCCGACUCCAGCUCCCUGCCAAAGCCCGCCCUGGGAGGCAGCAGGUGGUGGCUCAAGCACUUGGGUCCUUGCCACACGUAUGGGAGACCUGGGCUGAGUUCCUGGCUCCUGGCUUGGGCCUGGCUUAGCCUUGGCCAUUGCAGGCAUUUGAGGAGUAAACCAGCAGAUCUCUCUAUGCAUCGCCAACAACAACAACAACAAAAAAUCCACAACUUAAAGAAAUGAGAAAGAAAAUACAGCAGUCAAUGAAAGAAAAUACAGCAGUCAAUGAAUGUUUUUAGACACUGGGAACGAGACCAUUGAGCUUGUCGUGGGCUGUCACAGGGACGGACACCAGCUGGGGAUGGGUUUUGGUGUCACUAGCGAGGGCUGUGCCACCCACAGAGGGGCCCACAUCUGUGCCCCACUGUGACACGCUGUGCAGUCCUGCGGCCCCUUCUCCAGGGCCUCGGUUUCCCCUUCUGAAGAGUUAGGUCCACAGCCUGAAUUCCAUAUAGUUUAAUGCUUAUUUUUCCAGUACCAUCUGCUGAAAAAUAUUCCGCUUAGGGUAAGAAGGAUGACCUUGGCUGGACACACUGAACAUUUGCCUUCUGCCAGGUCUGGGGUGAUCCAGCGUGCAGUGCUGGGGAAAGAACCAGCCGCAAUGAGAGGACCAGGUGCCGACAGAGGGUGGAGGUGGGAGCUGAGUGAGUGCUCUGUGCAGAGGUCGCCCUGGGCUGAGAGGGCGCCAACCAGAGAGGCUGUCCAGAGAGAAAAGACCCCUGAGCAGAGCUACAGAAAAGGCAGGCAGCCACAGCCGGCAGGACACAAAUCGGCCUGCAGCCCCACAGCAUCCUGGGCAGCGCUUGGGGUGCCACAGUCAUCAACCUUUUUGUUAAAAUAAAUAUUAUUAAAUAUAAUAAUGGUUUGCUUCCCAGAUGGCUGAAACAUCUGGAGCUGGGCUGGUCCCAAGCCAUGAGCCUGGAGCUUCUUCCAGUCUCCCACGUUGGGGCAGGGGCCCAAGGAGUUAGGCCAUUUUCUACUGCUUUCCCAGGCAUAGCAGAGAGCUGGAUCGGAAGUGGAGCAGCUGGGACUCGAACCAGCACCCAUAUGGGAUGCCAGCACUGCAUGCAGAGGCUUUACCCGCUACGCCACAGUGCCGGCCUCCAUACAGUCACCAAUUUCAAAAUGUAAGGAGGUAAGGGUCAGCAUGUGUGCAGUCCUAGCUGCUCCACUUCUGAUCCAGCUCCCUGCUACUGUGUCUGGGAAAGCAGCAGGAAAUGGCCCAAGUCCCUGGGCUCCUGCACCCAUGUGGGAGACCUAGAGAAAGCUCCUGGCACCUGGCUUCAGUCUGGUCCAACUCCGGCCAUUGUGGCCAUUUGGGGGGCGAACCAGUGGACGGAAGAUCAAUCUCUCUCUCUCGAAUAGACCUUUUAAAAAUAAAC